rnacentral:lncRNA from 1 species
UAAUACUCCCAAAUUCCAGAUCGAAGCACAUCCACUCCGCCCUAUUUUCUACUCUAAUAAUUCCCUCACAUAUCCUAACUACAAUCCCACCAGGUAAGGUUUUGUUUUUUUCAAUUAUUGUUGGGAUAUUUAAGUUCUUGGUGAUGUAGUAGUUUUUCAAUCUUUUCUUUUGUAGAAUUUUUUGUAGUGUGCUCUUGUAUGCUAGUGGGUUUGUUGAGUUUGUGUAGAUGUAUCUCUUAAAAUAUAUGGGUGACAUUUGGGAAAUUGUGGUGGAGUUUGUCUUAUAAAUUUGUUAAUUAGGGACUCCAGUGAAUGGUGCAUAUAAAGUGUUUGUUAAUAUACCGCAGUGAGUUGUUAAUGUUAAUUGUGACCAAUUAUGUGGAUGAAGUCUGAGUAACUGCAUUUGGUUCACAUAUUUUAUAUUUCACUGAUGAUGUUCUUUAUUUCAGGUAGUAUGACACAUUCCAAGAAACGUCGAACCAUCGGUGCUUCAUCCAGUCGUCAAGCUAGUUCCUUCAGAGCACGUGAUUCAACUCAUGCUCGCCCUUAUGAUAGUACCAAGUUUGUAUCCGCCGCAACUCAGGACCAUUUUGCUGAUAAUGCACCACAAAAACCAAUACCG